rnacentral:rRNA from 1 species
AGAACGAACGCUGGCGGCAGGCUUAACACAUGCAAGUCGAGCGCCCACUUCGGUGGGAGCGGCAGACGGGUGAGUAACGCGUGGGAAUCUACCCAUCUCUACGGAACAACUCCGGGAAACUGGAGCUAAUACCGUAUACGCCCCCCUUUAGAGAUAUUGGGCGGGGAAAGAUUUAUCGGGGAUGGAUGAGCCCGCGUUGGAUUAGCUAGUUGGUGGGGUAAAGGCCUACCAAGGCGACGAUCCAUAGCUGGUCUGAGAGGAUGAUCAGCCACACUGGGACUGAGACACGGCCCAGACUCCUACGGGAGCAGCAGUGGGGAAUAUGGACAAGUGGGCGCAAGCCUGAUCCAGCCAUGCCGCGUGAGUGAUGAAGGCCCUAGGGUGUAAAGCUCGUUUCGCCGAUGAAGAUAAUGACGGUAGUCGGAGAAGAAGCCCCCGGAUAACUCGCGCCAGCAGCCGC